ensembl:lncRNA
AUAACCUUCUCUUAUCAGCAAUUCCACGGAGUAGACAGAGCCCUGCUCCCCCAAGCCUGCCCCCAGCCCGGGGCCACUCCUCGCCCUGGCUGGUGGAGCCAGGCGCGGCAGAGCUGUGGGCCCUCCCAGCCGAGGCCCGCAUUGUUGGGACAGUGGCCAUGGGCUUCCACCCAGCUGGACGGGGCUGCAGCUGGGCCUGCCUGACGGUAAUAAAGAAUGUGGAGAGCUCGCUUGCCCGCCACAGCCCAGCGGCAGGAAACAUCCCGAGAGCACCUGCUUCCUGAGGGCCCUGCAGGGCUCCUGGGCACCAUCUGGGCGCUGCCCCGAGUGCUGUUUGCAUUAGGAGUUUAGAAAAACAAUUCGGCUUUGACUGAUCGCUCUGUAAUUUUCUCAGGCGCAUCCCAGGGUCUCACCCUGCCCCCCUGCCUCUGUCCUUGCCAGCUCUUCUCAGGAGUUCCUAGGCCGACACACACACACCACACUCACACCACACACAAGCCGCUGCAACACACUCACAUGCACACACAUAUACACACAUUCUCACACACACGCACUAUUGCAGCUCACGCACGUGCCCUCGCCUUCUACAGUUCUCAGGGAUACCCUACUCUCUUCUCAGAGGUGGGGCCCUCGCCUCUUUGGGAUCGGCAGGGGAAGGGUCAGCAGUCCUGGGAGCUCAGGGUGGGAGCGGCUGUGGAGCAUGGGGCCUGCAGCCGGACGCCGGGGCUGAAUCCCGGGUCUGCGGCACCUCGCCCGCUAUCUGCGCUUCCGUCGCCUCUGUCGUUGAAGACUGAGGCUGCCGCUGGCCCCUCAGCCCUGCUCAGAACAGCGCCUGGCUCAGAGGAAGCGCGACACGUGUUCAUUGUUAAAAAUUCCAGCAACUCAAGGUGUGCACCUGCCCCCGGGCCUUUGCAAGGGCUGCUCCCUCUUCUGGAAAGCCAAGGCUUGCUUCCUCACGUCCCUUGAGAUUCCACUCAAAUGUCACCUUCUCUGUUUAAAGCCUUCCCCCGCCCCUCCCAGCUCCGUUGCCCACCUUCACGGACUUGGCUUCUGCAGCUGUUCCUCUCUGGAAUGCGUGUGGAAGGCAGGAAGUCCUGCUGCGGGCCCAGGACGCCCGGGACGAGGCCGGGCCUUAGAAGGCGUUUGAUGAACAACUUCGUCUGAGGGGGCGAAGAGCACGUCCCUGAGGGCUUGUUUGAGGCCUGAGGGGGCCCACAGGCGAGCCUGACCGCUCUGACCGGGAGCGAGCGCGCAGUGGGAGAAUUGUUGUCAUCGUUAGUAGUAGUGGUAAUGUUGUGGUUUUGGUGGCUGUUUGUUGGAAGCCCGCGGUAGACCAGCAAACAUUCCCUCUUCUUCUGAUAACCCAUCCCGUUCCCUCUGGGAACCGCCCCCCACACUGUGGGCCCACGGCAAUGGGCUCAGAGAUGGGCAUGAUCCAAAGUCAACCAGAGACAUUCCCCAUUUCCUGAUGGCUGAGCAGAUGCAAUGGCUGGCACUGCUGCAGCUGUCUCUCCACCAGGCGGAGAGUGAAGCAUCAGAGGUGAGCCAGGCUGAAGGACAGAGAGAGGCCUGAGCCAGGCAGCAGUGACGGUGCUCAGACCCCUUCUCAGUCUGGGCCUAAUCCACGUCUGGUCUUUCAGCUGCUUAUGUCAAUAACACUCAUUUCAGUUAAGCCCAUUCAGGUUAGGUCGCUGUCACUUGCCACCAGCAAGGUCCUGCUUGAUCUAGAAUCUGACGUGGAAUCCUCUGGAAGUUUUCUCCUUUCACCCCCAUCCUCCCCCUUCUCUUCCUGUCGUCCUCUAGGCCCCGUGUAGCCCCCUCUGUCUGGUGUUUAGCAACCACUGGUUCCUGUCUUCAUUUGGUUCUGGGCUCCUUCCCUGCUACUCAUCUCUCGUGCUGUUUGUCUGGCCCCUGGUGGCCAGGAUGUAUGGUUCCUGCCCUUCUGGGGAACCAGAAUUUAAGACACCUGAGUUUUAACACAUUAUUCACUCCUUUGCCAAAUUAGUGGCAAAAGCCUUGUGAGCCAGCAUGAAGGGAGGGGUUCUGGUUAAUCAAAGGUUCUGGUUGGCUGAGAGUUCUCCUACCUUCCCCCGCCCUCCUCCGGGACCCUCCCUGCUUCCCUUGCUGCCUCUGUCGCAGCCAUCCUGCCUCUGCGUGCAACCUGGACACGUCAAGUCCUCUCCUGCGCGGGAAACUCUGUGCUGGCUGUUCCCUGUGCCUGGACUGUCCUCUCAGACCUUCCCACCGCCGCCUCCUUCUCCUCCUUUCCGUCUUGGCCCAAUUGUCACCUCCUCCGAGAUGCCUUUCCUGACCAGCCUGCCCUUUUUUAUUCUGAUACCCCCUUUUGGGGAGCACUUAUCACUCUUGGAAAUGAUUUUAUCCACUGUCGAUCUGUGUCCUUGCUGGAAUGUAAGGGCACGAGGCCAGGGUCUCACCUGUUUCCCCCCUUGGGUCCCUAAUGCCGCACCCUCCCCGCGGCACCGUACCCCGUGCUGCCUUGUUCGCUUCAUGAGAUACAUCGGGUCAUGAUGUAUGGUCUCAGCCACCUGGGAUAGAGACCUCAGAUCAUUCUUCACGCCCAAGGCAUCAGUUCCUAAGUCUGGCUUAUUCUUCCUCCCCUCCCCUUCCCUCCUCCGUCCCAUCACCCCUGCCUUAGCGUGGGCUCUCGUCCAUCACGCAGUGGCUCCUAGCUGGGCCACCUGCCCCGUCCUUCCCUUCUCCAGCUCCAGCUAGGCUCUUGCACCCAUGCCAGUCGCUUCGUCUGCAACAUUCUUUUGUUCCCUCUUUGCCUGGUGUCUUGGUUUUAGGGAACAGCAGUCACUCUGGUAUUUUAAGCAGGAGGAGAUUUAAGACAGGACUUGGGAGCUCUGAAACUUAGGAGAGGGUCAGGCUGAGUCUCCAGGAUAAUCCCAGGAAACACAGCAGAACUGGUCCCAACUCUGCUGCCGUCAAGGAGGAGGAAAUCACAACGUUGCUGCUGGAACUACUACUUCAAGAAAAUGGCAUUUCAUCUGUGAUCCAGGGGUCAGAGGCCACUUCAGCUGCUAAAGUUGCCAGUUGACCCCCAAGAAGCUGGAGCCUGGACCCCAGAAUGUUCUUCCAGAAAGACCCAGCACCUCUGUGACCCUGCGAACCAGCAGAAAAUGUGCAGAGGCCACUGGAGAUGGCCUCCUCCCUCUGUUUGCCUUCCAAAUCAUGCAUGAGUGCAGCUGGUUGGUGGAACCGAAUUCAAACCUUGUAAAGGCGCCUGGGAAAUGUAGUUACUAAGUUUUCCAGCCUCUGCGUUUACAGCUCAGGCCACAGAAGGAGGUGGGAGCAGUUGCUGCGGGCCUAUCAGCCGUGUCUGCCACAGUAGCCAGCCCCGGCCCCCAGGGCCUUCAGGACCAGCUCAGGAAAGCCUUCCUGCCUGCUGCGCUGCAUAGGGCUGGGCUCCCUCUCAUAUGCCCUGGGGCAUCCUGUGCUUUUUCUCAGAGGUAGUGAAGAGUGUGCACGGUCUCCAGCAAGGCCCAGCUUUCCAGACUGUCACCCUGUGAAGCAGGGACGCUCCCCUUGUGCAAGAGGGUGGCCUGGCACAGGGAAGAGGCUCCAAGGGGAUAGCCAGUGCUGUCUUAGGAGCCCCGCAGCCCUUCUCCCCUCUCCUGAAGCAUUUCCUGCCUGGAUGGCCUUUCCGACAGUCCCACCUGCUAUUUUGAACUGCUUCCCAUCUGUGGGGCAUCUGCCUUCUCUCGGAGCCGCUCGCAGGCACACAUGGCUUUUACCUCUGGUCUCUCCAGAUGCCUGCUGGCUUGCAGUAAGUUCAUCCUUUCGGUUACAAAGAUUUUUAAGGAAGAGGUUUAAAAAAAAUCCUCAAUCUUUCAUGCAGCGGGCAGGAGGCCAUCUAGUGGAGAAGAGAGAUGAGCUUAAACUCCAGGAAGAUGAAAGGAGGGGACACUUUCCUGGGCAUCCGCCAAGGUGGCCUGGGCAGCAGCCAGAGCAACAAGAGCCCUGACUUGUGUCCUCCGCUGAACAUAACUGGACACUGGGUUGUGGCUGCGACCCAGAGGUGAGAGCUGAGCACAGGGCACACUCGACAUCAGCCCGUUAGUGCUCAGAACAAACAAGGACCCAGGAACCCCCCCACCCCCACCCCGCGUGUUUUCUUCUUGGGAAGAGCCACGGCCCCCACCUGCCUCCCUGGCCAUCCCUGCUGGCCCUGCUGGCUCUCGGCUGGAGUAGAGAAGCGCCUGCUUCCCUCUGGAGACUCGCUGACGUCAGGGAGGGCGCUGCAGGGACAGGGAGGAGGAGAGCAGGGGGUGCUGCAGCUGCCUGCCCCGCCACAUUCUUGCUCUUCCACGCUCCUCCCACUCACUCAGACCUGGUCGUCCUCCGGCCUUAUCUCUGCCAGCCAGCAGGCUUCGGGGUUUAGGGGACAGCCAGCCAGCAUCAACCUGCCUUGCGUAGGAAUUCCGGUUGGGGGUUAGCACUUGUUUCAAGGGGCUCAAACAUCACGGGAGCAGGUCUCUCCCCAUCUCUUGGAUCUGUUUCCUGCUCCACCGGGUCCGCUCUCAGGAAAGCUUCCCCCCAACGUAACGAAUGGCCCCCAGCCACUCCAGGGCCCUUGUUCUCCCAGGUUCAAAUCUUUCUUCAGGCGCUGUCUGCCAAAGUCCUGAUAUUUGCUCCAAUUGGACGAGCUGGGCUGGCAUUUCUACCCUAAACCAGUCCCUGCGGGGUGGAGUGGAGGGGCAGGACCAACCCGGAGCACAGGCUCUAGAGGUGGCAGGACUGCUGAAUGCAAACUGGGGCUUGAGAGGCGCCCAAGAAAUGUUUGUUGAAUGAAGGGAUGGAUGAACGACUGGCUAAAUGACCCACUUAGCCUCAGAUGCUAAGAGGAGACAGGUUGCGAGGGCCUGUAUCAGAGGGUCCUUGUGCAUGAGGCUGGCAUAGGGGGAGCCAGCCAGGGGACAAGAGGCCAAAGGCCGUAUGAUGGGGUUGCUGGGGAGUUGUUUCCUUGCUUGGGCCGACUGGCCUGUGCUGUGGACCCUGGACUAGUUCUGCAGCAUGCACGUGUCCCUGUAGCCAUGACCCCGUGCUCGCUUCCUCUCAGGACUCAGCAAAGUUCUCGUUUGGGGCACAGCAGUGGGAGAAGUUUGGCUCCUGGGUGAGCUCGAGUGUUGGAGGUGCGUGGGGUAGACUGCCAGCUGCCCCGAUACCUGCUCUCCUCUCUUUCUGUGGUCCUAGAACUGGCAAUGAGGCACGGGACCACAUCCCUUCACUUAGGCGCAGCCGUGGGGUAGGCUCUGAACCAUCUGUCCUGCUCCAUCCUGCUGCCUGGGAGGCGGGCGCGCGGAUGGGCCAUCCUGGACCACACGGGGACAAUGGAGCAACAAGGCAGAGAGAGCCUGGGUUUCCAACCCCUGGAGCCAUCAUAUCAGCCCCGAAAGGCUGAUGCCCAGACGAGUAGUGAGAGAGAAAUGCACUUCCACAUUGUUUACACUGCUCUUAUUUUCCAUCUCUGUCCUAUAACCUAAGAUAGGGAGGAGGUGCCUCCUGGGCUAGACGUCAUGGGGGCCACUGAAGUCUGAGAAAGGGGCUCCCACAUAGCAGCUGCUUCCCCCCCAUCAGCAGGGUUCUCUACCUGCGGAUCUUUCCAACCUGACAUCGCCAGUUAAAGCCCUCCUCUCUGUCCCCUCCUACUCCAAGUGCCCUCCUGGCUGAAAGCGUGUGCCUUCUGUGGGACGACUCCCUCCCCAGCCCACAGCAGUCGGGGGGGGGGGGGGGCAGGCCCCCAGUGAAACCUGAGUGCCUUCAGUCACUGCCCCUCCAAGUCCACCCACCUUCUCCUCUCUGUCCACGCUCACCCCUCCUGGAGGCCCCCUGAAGAGUGGCCCACCGCCUCCGUCCCUGUUCUGGGCCUGGGAACCCUCCUGCCCUCCCUCCCCUGGUGCCCUGGCAUGUGCCAGGAAGUGCCAAGGAUUCCCCAUCUCUGAAAGGGCGGGCCAGCUGGGCUGUGGAGUGAGGCCCUGGGCUAGCCUGCCAGGGCUCUCCAGGCUGCCCUUCCAGAAACUCCCAGCCCCUUCCUGCCUGGCCUCCUGCCCAAGCCCUUCCUGGAAACUGGGCCCACCCUGCCCCCAGCCCAGGGCGCCAAUAUUUCCACCGGGUGAUUCAGCCAGCCCUCCCCAGACGGGGCCCCUCCUUUCACUCGCGAUAUCGAAAGUUUGGAAAACAACUUGGGGGUGGGAAGGAGAGUCCCUGGCCGUGGCCCCACCUCCACCCCCACCCGACCCUGGGGGCUCCAAAGUG